GCGCCCGUAGCUCAGUGGAUAGAGCACUGGCCUCCGGAGCCAGGGGUCUCGCGUUCAAAUCGCGACGGGCGUACCA
rnacentral:tRNA from 1 species